rnacentral:rRNA from 1 species
GAUGAACGCUGGCGGCGUGCCUAAUACAUGCAAGUCGAGCGAACAGACGAGGAGCUUGCUCCUCUGACGUUAGCGGCGGACGGGUGAGUAACACGUGGAUAACCUACCUAUAAGACUGGGAUAACUUCGGGAAACCGGAGCUAAUACCAGAUAAUAUAUUGAACCGCAUGGUUCAAUAGUGAAAGACGGUUUUGCUGUCACUUAUAGAUGGAUCCGCGCCGCAUUAGCUAGUUGGUAAGGUAACGGCUUACCAAGGCAACGAUGCGUAGCCGACCUGAGAGGGUGAUCGGCCACACUGGAACUGAGACACGGUCCAGACUCCUACGGGAGGCAGCAGUAGGGAAUCUUCCGCAAUGGGCGAAAGCCUGACGGAGCAACGCCGCGCGAGUGAUGAAGGUCUUCGGAUCGUAAAACUCUGUUAUUAGGGAAGAACAAAUGUGUAAGUAACUAUGCACGUCUUGACGGUACCUAAUCAGAAAGCCACGGCUAACUACGUG